AUUGAACGCUGGCGGCAGGCCUAACACAUGCAAGUCGAGCGGAUGAAGGGAGCUUGCUCCUGGAUUCAGCGGCGGACGGGUGAGUAAUGCCUAGGAAUCUGCCUGGUAGUGGGGGAUAACGUCCGGAAACGGGCGCCAAUACCGCAUACGUCCUGAGGGAGAAAGUGGGGGAUCUUCGGACCUCACGCUAUCAGAUGAGCCUAGGUCGGAUUAGCUAGUUGGUGGGAUAAAGGCCUACCAAGGCGACGAUCCGUAACUGGUCUGAGAGGAUGAUCAGUCACACUGGAACUGAGACACGGUCCAGACUCCUACGGGAGGCAGCAGUGGGGAAUAUUGGACAAUGGGCGAAAGCCUGAUCCAGCCAUGCCGCGUGUGUGAAGAAGGUCUUCGGAUUGUAAAGCACUUUAAGUUGGGAGGAAGGGCAGUAAGUUAAUACCUUGCUGUUUUGACGUUACCAACAGAAUAAGCACCGGCUAACUUCGUG
rnacentral:rRNA from 1 species